AAAAUUGUGGGUGAGGGGGGGGGGGCUGCCCCGAUGGCGUGUGCCCUUUUGAAGAUGUGCUUAAAAACUGUAGGCUUGUCGGAAAGAUAUCGAUGACCAAAGAUAAAAGGAAUAUCAUUCAAGAGAGGCAAGAUAGAGUAUAUGCAUAUAUCAUGUAACCAAAAUUGACACUUUUUAUAAAAAUAUAUCUUUUUCCUAUAUCAUCAAACUUUACCAAUAGGCCUAAUGAUCUUUAACGUUUGUGUACAUCCCCCAUCUUUGAUUACGUAGUAUGUGAACGUUUCCAUAGAUAUGUGUUUUACGCACUUGCUUGAAAAAUUGCAAGCUAACCAGGUGUGUAGUGAUUGUUGCCUUGUUGGUGAUGCUACCGUCAUGGUACUGCUGUCAAAAACACAAGAUAUGUUUUUUCAAGGAGUUCUUAAAAUCAUGCAGCAUUUGCUCAUCAAACUUCGCCUUUAAUAAGUUUUACAAUAAUAGGAGUUGGGAAUCUUUGCAAUUAAACCAAGGUGAAGUAAACUUUUAUUCAAGCAUACUUUCGAUUGGUCAACUGAUGACUGAAAUCAUCUUUAGCUCUGUAAAAGAAUUUUUGGCCUUUUGAGAGUUUUUAAACUUUUUGAAAACAAUAAUGUGAGGCAAAGGGCGCACCGGGAAAUUUCCCGAUGUCCCGGUGGGCUAGUCUGCUUCUGCUCGCAGUCAUUUACUUCAGAGUUUGCCUAUCACGUGAUAAUUGAUAAUUGCAAGCUCAAGUAUGCAAAAAACCAGUUGCGAUCAGCAAUGGGUCACGAGAGGUUAAAUAAACGUCGAGCUUCACUUAUUUGUCACCUGAUGAACAUGAAGCAAUGGGUACAAUUGCGGAUAAACAUGUGCUGAAAGACUUCUCAUGCACUAAAAAUUGUCCAGUUCAUUUCUUUAGAUUCCUAAGAGAUUGACUAUCAGUCCCAUUGCGUGUUUGACUUUUAAUUAAAGAUACUGAUUACUGAUGAUUAUGAUUAUCAAAAGCUUGAAUACCGAUGCUUCCUUUUCUCUGAUUUAUUGAAACCUGAUUUUCUCCCCCAUAUUUUUUUCUUAAGAAUUGGCAUGUGCUCGAUGACGUCAUUGUUUUGUAAACCUGUUGUUGGAAAGUUUGUUAGAUGUGCCCCCUACCUAAGAGUCAUUUCUCACGAUACCCCUGUCUUUAAAACCAGUCUAAGCAGAUGAAACUCCAUACGCUUUCGAACAGUGGUGGUCACUUGGUAAUUUGGAGGGACAACUAAUGACACAAGAUUUCUAUUUACUUUCCAUUUUGCUAAACUUAUUCGCUAGCUAUAAAACGAAUUCGAAGCUUAUGAAAUAUGUCCUUUGCCCAUAAAUCUAUUAGCGGGAGAAUUUUUAAAAUCUACGGCUCAGUGGAUACUGAAGAAUUGUGUUGUGGACUUAGCCCUCAGUUCCUUAUUUUGAUGUAUUUCUCUUCUUAGGCAAUAUCUAGUUUUCUUCAUUUGAAUAAAGAACCAAAAUAACGUCCCCUCGACACGGUGACGGAGAUUUUUACAAGCGCAAUUAUUUUUAUCUGUUUUAGAAAGUCUGCGUGCACACUAUGAGCGUCCACAUUGAGAGUAUGAAAAGUAGAAACUAUUUUUACGCAAAGAUAACUGUUUUAUAGCUUAGAGAUAACUUAGAACAUCCUAUAAAUUGUUGAUUCUUCGAAGUUUUUCAAAGUAUUACCAGCCGUUAUGGUCGGAUGAACCAGUAUGAUCUACCAACGACACUACGACCCUGCGCAAUCCUUGGGGAGAUAGUUGUAGCCUCGGUUCCAAACAUUCAGCAAACGAAUUUGGAGGGAAUGAACACCAUGUUGAAUUGCACGAGGCGGUUAUGGACGAAGGUCCAUUUUGCAGCUCCAUUUCCUUGUUUUUUAUCAACACUCUUGGCCACAUCUCUUCAAAGUUAGCUUAAAAGCAAACUGCUACAAAGAACGAAGAUUGCUGCUCUGCUAACGAUUCAAAACAAGGUGGUUGCGACACGAACUUUGUUAUCAUUAUGAAGAAAAUCUCAGCAAAAUUGCUACGAUAUCACUUGGAGGUUCAAUCAAAUGUCAUCAAAACAUUUCAGAAAGGUACUACUUUCCAGAUAUCACUUGAAGGUUGAGCCAAAUGUCAUCAAAACAUGUCAGAAAGGUACUACUUUCCAGAUAUCACUUGAAGGUUGAGCCAAAUGUCAUCAAAACAUGUCAGAAAGACAUCAAUUGGAAGUUCAACGAAAGUUCAUCAAAUGAUUUCAGAAAGAAAUUUUUUUCAGCAUUUCAGAUAUCACUUAGAGUCUCAACAAAAUGUCUUGAAAUGAUUUCAGAAAGGAGUUUUGGCUGAGGUGAAUUGUGAGAGGCCGAAAAACUCAACAAUUAUUCUGAUCGACGUUGAUUUCAUUAUUAAUCGAAAUUUAUCUUCGGAUGUCUGUGUUUGACUUUGGAAAAGUGGAACGGAAGAACCCUUCUUCUAUCUAUGCAACGGCAUUGGAGUGAACGGUCAGCUUUUCUAUUUGCAAAAUGACGUCAUCGUACUUGCAUAUGCAGCAAAGGCAAGUCCUUACCUAACAAAAGGAUAAAGCUGACGAUACAGCUGAUAAUUACGGCUGCUAACAUAUCUACGGAGCUGAUAGAGCGCUAUCCACAAGAGCUAGGAAGGAGACAAAAUUUCCAUGAGACAAAAAUUCAAUUUAUUAAAUCGUACUUCUAAUGAACAUUUAGUAACUGGUUUCCAGCCAGAGUUUGAAAUAACAUUAUUUUGUGUCAAGGAAUUUGCUGUAGUCUCCCUCAUACAGCUAAGAAAAGUAGCAUCAAUGGAUUUCAAAUCUAUUUUUCGGAAUACAUUAGCUUCGGAUCUAGUUUGCCAAAAAAAGGACAUUUUAUUGGGAUUUUGUGUAAAUUAAAACUAUUUUUAAAGCAACAGUGAUUAUGUCAUUCAGUAUUUACCUUGGCUUGCAAUGGCGAAUCCCUGAAUAUUGCUUGAUC